GAAGAGGCCAGUGUGACCAGGACAGUGGGCAAGGAGAGUGGGAAUAGGUAAGGUUCAGAAGGUUCCAGAUCAGACCCUGAAAAGCUGUGCCUGCCGUGAGCAGGGAGGGGGACAGGCCUAACUUGAAACUGCUUUGAGGCAUAUGCUCAGACCUGUAAUAUGCAAGCAGUUGUCGUCAGGCUGGAGCUGACACUUCCACCCAUGUUUAGCUCAGUAAGGUAACUGAGGCUGGAUCAUCAUUUCCUGUGUACCCCAAAUUGCUACAAGCCUGAAGCCAGUUGUUCCUUCACCACCAGACCUUGUUCUCAGUCCUGACUGGGAGACUCUGAAGAUGAAGGGGGUACCCUCAGGGAAGGUAUGGAGAUGGAGGGGUCUGCACUGGAUUGACUGGUCAGGAACCCAAAGGAGGGUCCAGUGUCUGCCUGUGCCAUUCCCUCAGGGUCCAGCCAUCUGCUGUGACCACCGAUGUGGACUUGGUCAGAGGCCUAGAGCCCUGGUGCCUGCUCAAAAGAACAGAAACCAGGCAAGUUCCUCUCUGAUAAAAUGUGAAUGAUUCCUUCCUGUGUCAAUACCCUCUAAGAUUCCCUGGACAACCCCAACACUGCCCUUCAAAUCUCCCCUGCACAAAUUAAGUUCCUGGGGCAGCUCUACUGAACAGCGCCCUCUAGUGAAAAUUUGUGUUCCUGCGGUAACCGCUGGGGAAGGGCUUGCUGGAACCACCAAGGAGAGAGAAUCCGUCCAUGCUAUUCUUCAGAUCUCGCUCUACAGAAUCCCUGCUGUGCCAGGCAUCACCAGCCACUGAAAAGUUCUGAGAGCGAUGUGAGAGCGUAAGCCGUGUCUAUCAUGUUCACCAUUGGGCCUCACCACGUAAUACUGGCUGGCAUACACUUGACAUUCUGUAGUAUCAUCACCAUUUGACACAAGAAAUGAAGCCUUUGUAAUGACCCGAGGUCCUUCAGUUUGGAGUGACAGAGCUGAGUCAAUGAACUCUGGGGCACUGUUGAUGCUGAGGUCAGCCAGCCAGCUGCUCACCACUUUUCUCUCUGGCCCUGGCAGCCCAUGCAGAUUGUUGGCAACAGUAUAGAUGACACAUCAUUUUUUUCUACGUAGGACAGAGUUCAUCUUGCUUUUGAAAUGAAUCAUCCAGAUGUUUGGGUAGGUUUUGUGGCCACCACAAGUAGAAUUGUGAAUAGUUAUAGCUUUGAAUUAUUGAGUGAUUAUUCAGUACCAAAUACUGUACACCUACAUAAUCACAAAUGAAGUAAGUACUACUGUUGUCUUAAUUUAUGGUUGAGGAAACUGAAGCUUACAGAGGUUGAGUGCUAUUCAUGGUCACAGGGUUAAACUUCAGGCCGUCCAAUUUCAAAGUUCAUGCUAUUAAACUUACGCUAAUUGAAGAUUCUUUACCCAUCCCAGAAAGAGGAGGGAGGUGUUAAAGAAUAGCUAACUUUCAACAGACCUGCAGUUUUGUUGGCGUGUGUGUGUGUCUAUAUAUGGUAAACACCAUACUAUACACACUACCUUAACCUGGACACCUCUGCUGCCUGGCUAUGGCAUCCCAUAAAAAGGCUCUAAGCUGUGUGUGUGUGUGUGUGUGUG